rnacentral:rRNA from 1 species
GACGAACGCUGGCGGCGUGCUUAACACAUGCAAGUCGAACGGAAAGGCCCUGCUUUUGUGGGGUGCUCGAUUGGCGAACGGGUGAGUAACACGUGUGUAACCUGCCCUUGACUUUGGGAUAACUUCAGGAAACUGGGGCUAAUACCGGAUAGGAUCUCCUGCUGCAUGGUGGGGGUUGGAAAGUUUCGGCGGUUGGGGAUGUACUCGCGGCUUAUCAGCUUCUUGGUGGGGUAGUGGCUUACCAAGGCUUUGACGGGUAGCCGGCCUGAGAGGGUGAACGGCGACAAUGGGCCUAAGAGACGGACCAGAAUGGUACGGGAGGCAGCAGUGGGAAAUAUUGCAGAGUGGGCCGGAGUGUGAUGCGGCAACGCUGCGAGCGGAAUGACGGGUUACGGGGUAUAAACAGAUGUGGAAUGAGAUGAGGAGAGAGUGACGGUAAUGGGUAAAAAAGCAACGGCUAACUACGUG